rnacentral:rRNA from 1 species
GACGAACGCUGGCGGCGUGCUUAACACAUGCAAGUCGAACGGAAAGGCCCUGCUUUUGUGGGGUGCUCGAGUGGCGAACGGGUGAGUAACACGUGAGUAACCUGCCCUUGACUUUGGGAUAACUUCAGGAAACUGGGGCUAAUACCGGAUAGGAGCUCCUGCUGCAUGGUGGGGGUUGGAAAGUUUCGGCGGUUGGGGAUGGACGCGCGGCUUAUCAGCUUGUUGGUGGGGUAGUGGCUUACCAAGGCUUUGACGGGUAGCCGGCCUGAGAGGGUGACCGGCCACAUUGGGACUGAGAUACGGCCCAGACUCCGACGGGAGGCAGCAGUGGGGAAUAUUGCGCGAUGGGCGGAAGCCUGAUGCAGCAACGCCGCGUGCGGGAUGACGGCCUUCGGGUUGUAAACCGCUUUCGCGUGUGACGAAGCGUGAGUGACGGUAAUGGGUAAAGAAGCACCGGCUAACUACGUG